rnacentral:rRNA from 1 species
UACGUAGGGGGCUAGCGUUGUCCGGAAUCAUUGGGCGUAAAGGGCGUGUAGGCGGCUCGUUAAGUCCGCUGUGAAAGUCCAGGGCUCAACCCUGGAAUGCCAGUGGAAACUGUCGAGCUAGAGUCCGGAAGAGGCGAGUGGAAUUCCUGGUGUAGCGGUGAAAUGCGCAGAUAUCAGGAGGAACACCGAUGGCGAAGGCAGCUCGCUGGGACGGUACUGACGCUGAGACGCGAAAGCGUGGGGAGCAAACAGG